rnacentral:rRNA from 1 species
AUGUUUGUGUUUGUUAUUCGAGCACUUUCAGCCAUGGUUAAGGAUAAGACUCACAUCAACAUCGUGGUGAUUGGCCAUGGCAACUCUGGCAAGUCGACCACCACUGGCCAUCUUGUCUAUGAGCUUGGAGGCAUUGACAGGCGUGUGAUCGAGAGGUUCGAAGAUGAAUCAGCUGAGAUGAAGAAAUGUGGCAAGUACGCAUGGGUGCUUGACAAGCUGAAGUCUGAGCGUGAGAGGGGUAUCGCCAUUGAUAUUGCCCUGGGGAAGUUCGAGACCACCAAGUACAACUUCAGUGUCCUUGACAUCACUGUUACCUCCUAG